AGUGAACGCUGGCGGUAGGCCUACCCCUGCCAAUUGGACGGCCGCCCAGUAAGAGCUUGCCCUUUCGGGUGGCGAGUGGCGGACGGGUGGGGAAUACCUCCGAAUUCACUUUUUUGUUGGGGAUUACGUUGGGAAACUUACCCUUAUUCCCCAUUAGAACUUCGGGGGGAAGCCGGGGGUCUUUGGGCCUUGGGCGAUUGAAUUAGCCGAUGUCGGAUUAGCUAGGUGGCGGGGGAAAGGCCCACCAAGGCGACGAUCCGUAGCUGGUCUGAGAGGAUGAUCAGCCACACUGGAACUGGGACACGGUCCAGACUCCUACGGGAGGCAGCAGUGGGGAAUAUUGGACAAUGGGCGCAAGCCUGAUCCAGCCAUACCGCGUGGGUGAAGAAGGCCUUCGGGUUGUAAAGCCCUUUUGUUGGGAAAGAAAAGCAGCAGGUUAAUACCCCGCUGUUCUGACGGUACCCAAAGAAUAAGCACCGGCUAACUUCGUG
rnacentral:rRNA from 1 species